rnacentral:rRNA from 1 species
GACGAACGCUGGCGGCGUGCUUAACACAUGCAAGUCGAACGGAAAGGCCCUGCUUUUGUGGGGUGCUCGAGUGGCGAACGGGUGAGUAACACGUGAGUAACCUGCCCUUGACUUUGGGAUAACUUCAGGAAACUGGGGCUAAUACCGGAUAGGAGCUCCUGCUGCAUGGUGGGGGUUGGAAAGUUUCGGCGGUUGGGGAUGGACUCGCGGCUUAUCAGCUUGUUGGUGGGGUAGUGGCUUACCAAGGCUUUGACGGGUAGCCGGCCUGAGAGGGUGACCGGCCACAUUGGGACUGAGAUACGGCCCAGACUCCUACGGGACGCAGCAGUGGGGAAUAUUGCACAAUGGGCGGAAGCCUGAUGCAGCAACGCCGCGUGCGGGAUGACGGCCUUCGGGUUGUAAACCGCUUUCGCAUGUGACGAAGCGUGAGUGACGGUAAUGGGUAAAGAAGCACCGGCUAACUACGUG